rnacentral:rRNA from 1 species
GAUGAAUGCUGGCGGCGUGCCUAACACACGCAAGUCGAGCGGCAGCGCGAGUAGUUUACUACUUGGCGGCGAGCGGCGGACGGCUGAGUAACGCGUGGGAACGUGCCCCAAAGUGAGGGAUAACUGCCCGAAAGGGUGGCUAAUACCGCAUAUGAUCUUCGGAUUAAAGGAUUUAUCCGCUUUGGGAGCGGCCCGCGUUAGAUUAGGUAGUAGGUGAGGUAAUGGCUCACCAAGCCGACGAUCUAUAGCUGGUCUGAGAGGAUGAUCAGCCAGACUGGAACUGAGACACGGUCCAGACUCCUACGGGAGGCAGCAGUGAGGAAUCUUCCACAAUGGGCGAAAGCCUGAUGGAGCAACGCCGCGUGAAGGAUGAAGGCCCUAGGGUUGUAAACUUCUUUUAUAAGUGAAGAAUAUGACGGUAACUUAUGAAUAAGCACCGGCUAACUACGUGCCAGCAGCCGCGGUAA